UUGAAAAAACCGGGUUUAGUCUGGAGAAGAGAAGACUGGGAGGGGACAUUUAUGUACUUGAAAACUGUUAUAAAGAUUGUUACAAGGAGGAGGGAGAAAAAUUAUUCUUGUUAACCUCUGAGGAUAGGGUAAGAAUCAAUGGACUUAACUUGCAGCAAGAGUGUUUUAGGUUGGACAUUAGGAAAAACUUCCGGACUGUCAGGGUGGUUAUGCACUGGAAUCAAGUGCCUAGGGAGCGUGAUGGCGUGACUGCCUGUCACUGGCAGAAAUGGGGUUAAAAGCAGCCCUACGGAGAGUGAGCCGUAGGCAGCCAAUUAGAAAGAGGCUGAGAGAAGCAGCCAAUCAUGACGCGGCAGGCGCAUAUAAGAAGGGCUGCACGGCAUAAGAGAGUUCAGUAGCUGAAUGGAGUUUGCGGAGAGAAGACCUGGCUCUGAGCAGGAAGAAGGAGUGCCAGCACCUGGGAUAGAGCAGUGCUGCAAGCAGAGGCUGGGGGAGCUAGAGAGAGCUCUGGGCUGGUUGCUACAACCUGCAGGCUGAGGACCUGAGGUAUGGGCAGAAAAGGGUGCUGCAGCUACAUGGAAAGUGGCCCUGGGACAAUGGACUGAAGUUGCCACUGGAGGCGUGGCUGAACAGAGACUGUGGGUCCUCCGGCGGGGGGAACACAGAGUGUGGCACAGCCAGAAGGCAGGGUCACUGAAGAGGACUCUACAGUUCUGGGAGUGGCGUGGGUCCUGGAACAAAAGUGAUGGCAACAAGGCACCACCAGAGGAGGGCGCCCUGGGGCAAAGAUUCCUAAACACAAGCAAGAGAUCUGCAGGACUAACCUGGGUUAGCCCUAAUGGACAUAUUGAGCUGGCAUAUUUCAGCAGCUCUGGCACCAUGUGAAUCCUAAGACUGCAACAUGUUUUUGUGUGUAUGGUUACUUGUUUUAACUUGGUAAAUAAUGCUUUUAUUUCUUUUUCCUGAUUAAUAAAUCCUAGUUUACUAGA